UACAUCCACACGAUGGAAUACCAUGGGAUC
rnacentral:piRNA from 1 species